rnacentral:lncRNA from 1 species
CUCAGGAGGGAUGUUCCAGACGCCCUCCUCCUGCUCCAUCAUGGUCUGAUUUUGCUAUAACAUGAACACUGGGCUCCCAAAAUGAUUUGGGAGGGAUUCUUCUUUUCUAUUUUCUGGAGGAGUCUCUUUUUUAAGUAGGCUUAUAGCUAUGAAUUCCAUUGUCUUAAUGGAUUUAAGGGUAUUCACAUGAUCUAUUUGGUUUUGAGAGAGCUUGAAUAGUUUGUGUAUUUCACACUACUUUUACUUUUAUCUUCUUAUGUAUGUUAUCACAUUUUUGGCAUGAAAUACUUCUUUUCUUUGCCCUGUUCCCAUGCCAAUGUGUGGGGUCUGUCGUAAUGACCACAGAGAGGUCUUGGCAAGCCGUGGUUUCAGGAGCUGGCAGGAGCAGUGCCUCCCGGAGCCCACGAAGGUGAAUAGGAUGCCACCUGCUUCCUUCCUGGCAACGAGACGGGAAGGAGAGGAAACAUCGUGGAGCAUGAGGAGAAGGCCGUUUUCUCCGUCUCGGUCUCCCUGGUCCUGGAGGGCCAGCAGGGUUGGACAUGCGGGGGACCAGCCAGCUCGGGGCACUGCUGUUCUCCGUGGUGGCUUCCCGGAGGGCGGUGUGGCCCGGGGUGGGCUCACAGUAGGACAAAUCGAGACAGCCAGGGUGUCUGCCGAGUGGAUGAAGGAGGGGGCAGGGUGUGACUGUGGCGUGAAGAGUGCUGUUCCACCUCUCGAUCCGUUAGUGAGCGGAAGAGUGGGCUCUGCUGUCUCAGGCCGCGCCCCCCGACGCUGCCCGGGUCAGGCUGUGCGGGCUCCCAGGCCAGAGCCCGGGGCGGGCUGGGGCUGGGCCUGGUGCCUGGGAGGCUGGCGUCACCAGGCAGGCCCGGGCUCGGUCUCUCAGUCCACACUCUGCGGGAAGUGA